UCUCCAGUGAUAAAUAUAUAAGUCUCUGAAAAUGUCGUGUUAAGUCACAGCCUAGUCGUGCUGAGGACAGGGUCCUUAGAGAUGGAACUGCAGUAGAAUUCAGUGCAGUGCAGGCUGAGAGCCUUGGCUUGCCCCUUGUGAUUCAGCUUCAGUCAACUGCCAGGUGUAUUCUGAAGCCCAAGCGCCAUACUUGAGAAAGCAGAAGUGUAUCACAGACUCCUCAAAACCCGUGUCGUUGCUCAAAUUAAGUCUUGUAUGUUUUUACAGUGUGCUGCCUCAAGACCCGGCUGUUUGCUUCAUGUUUUGAAAUGUGCCUCUUACCUGUCACCAACCCUUUUCUCACUUGGUACAGAGAUCCACGGGGAUCUGCCAAAUCCUCAGUGUUCCGAGGGAGAGGAGGUCUCAGUAACCAUAUGGAAAGUUCCAGAACUCUUCUGAAGAAUGUUCGAGUCCAAGCCACUAGGAAAUAGAGGCAGUUCGCUCCUACAAGCAAGCAUACAACACGAUAUAGGAGAACUGUACUAGGUCUUCAUGACCCUGACAAAUUCCUGACAUAACAAGGUCAGGAUAGAAAGACUCGUUUGGGUUCACAAUUCCAGUCCAUCGUGAUGGAAGGGUCAGGCCAAGUGAAGCUCUCUCUCUCACCUGGGGAAACCAGGAAGCAGAGGAAGAAAACACCUAUGAGGGCUUGGUUUUUUCCUUUCCCACUUUAAUGCUGUCCUGAUCCCUAGCCUAGGGGAUGAUGCCGCCCACAUUCAGGGUGGGGCUUCCCCAUAAGUAAAAUAACUCCCCCUGGAAACAUCUGCCUGACACACCUGGCAGCAUUCUGUACCAACUAUCUGGGAGUGUCUGGGGCCAACUGAGUUGGCAAUCAAGAUUAGCCCUUACAGAGUCAGGGAACACACUGUGUUUACCAACAUCUGACUGUCCAAGAGAAACCAACCUCGUCCUUUCCUGUCAGGCAAUAUUUUCAUGAUCUCAAUGGGGCACAAAAGUUUUUCCUAGAAAAUGGAACAAACUCUGAAGCUCUGAGCCGUGUAAAUACAGAUUAGAACUUAG
rnacentral:sRNA from 1 species